UUGGAUAUAGCUCAGUCGGGUAGAGCAACAGCUUCGAUGCUGUCGGUCGCGGGUUCGACUCCCGCUAUCCCUA
rnacentral:tRNA from 1 species